rnacentral:misc_RNA from 1 species
CAGACUAGCACCAUAACGGGUGCCUGCAAUGUAAACAUGUUGUUGUAAGUGCCACCUUUCUAAGUUCCAACCACAAAGGUCUGAUGCCAACACAUGCAAACAUUAUACAUGAACUCAAAAGACAUGCACAGGAUCCAAAAAUGCUAAGAUACAAAACCAUGGGGCACAGAAAACAAGUAAUCCAUCAUAAGUGAAACCAAAAGGCUAUAAAUAACCCAUGACAACCAAAUGAUCUGAGGAUGAGAGUAUCAUAAUCAACUGAGAAGAUUUUAGUUAACAUUCUUUACUCCGUUAGAGCCAAAUGUGUGGCCCCAUAAAAUCUUUCACGUACAAGAGUCGAUGCCAAUGAGCAAGUUAUAAGACUGUUAUACAAGUAAAUAGUCAGACUAAAAUCUAAUAUGCCAAGGAUAUUAAUCCACACAUAAAAGUUCCUCUGUUACUCCAAUCUUUGCAGCCAGGUGGUUUUGCAAACCCAGGGAAUAAUACAAGUGAGACUUUAGCAUGCCAUGUAAUUGUAGUCAGGCAUGGGCAUACAAGAGUUCCAGCAUUGAGUCAUGGGCAAAAACACAAUUGUUUGUCUUUUAAUGUGUGGGUUUUAUUCUCUUUAACUGCUUAACAAAGAAUAAA